GCUUUCCAUUUCUGCAAAAAAAGCUUUUUGGACAUUUGGCAAGAGCUGCACUGGAUCUGUAGAUUUCUUUGGGUAGUAUUGACAUCUUAACAAUAUAAAGUCUUCGUAUCCAUGAAAAAUAAUGUCUUCUCAUUUAUUUAGAUUUGGCUAGCUGAUUGGCUGCUGAAAAAUAAUCCUAACAAACCCAAACUUUGUCACCAUCCAGUUGUAGAAGAACCUUAUUAAAAAAAAUCCUCGAAAGAACAAAUCAUGAACUAUCUUAUUGUAAAAGGCUGUACUUCUACUGUUUGAAAAAAUUAUUUCUAGGGUUUAAGUAACUACAAGUAAAAUAAAUUUAUUUCUUAAAAAUAA
rnacentral:sRNA from 1 species